UCAGGACGAGCGCUGGCGGCGCGCCUAACACAUGCAAGUCGAACGGAGCUUAGAGAGCUUGCUUUUUAAGCUUAGUGGCGAACGGGUGAGUAACGCGUGAGUAACCUGCCCUAGAGUGGGGGACAACAGUUGGAAACGACUGCUAAUACCGCAUAAGCCCACGGUGCCGCAUGACACUGAGGGAAAAGGAUUUAUUCGCUUUAGGAUGGACUCGCGUCCAAUUAGCUAGUUGGUGAGGUAACGGCCCACCAAGGCGACGAUUGGUAGCCGGACUGAGAGGUUGAACGGCCACAUUGGGACUGAGACACGGCCCAGACUCCUACGGGAGGCAGCAGUAGGGAAUAUUGGGCAAUGGGCGCAAGCCUGACCCAGCAACGCCGCGUGAGGGAAGAAGGUUUUCGGAUUGUAAACCUCUGUCCUAUGUGACGAAGGAAGUGACGGUAGCAUAGGAGGAAGCCCCGGCUAACUACGUGCCAGCAGCCGCGGUAAUACGUAGGGGGCGAGCGUUGUCCGGAAUUACUGGGCGUAAAGGGUGCGUAGGCGGUUUGGUAAGUUGGAUGUGAAAUACCCGGGCUUAACUUGGGGGCUGCAUCCAAUACUGUCGGACUUGAGUGCAGGAGAGGAAAGCGGAAUUCCUAGUGUAGCGGUGAAAUGCGUAGAUAUUAGGAGGAACACCGGUGGCGAAGGCGGCUUUCUGGACUGUAACUGACGCUGAGGCACGAAAGCGUGGGGAGCAAACAGGGUUAGAUUCCCUGGUAGUCCCCGCCGUAAACGAAGAAUAUUAGGUGUAGGGGGGAUAGAUUCCCUCUGUGCCGCAGCAAACGCAAAAAAGUAUUCCUCCUGGGGGGUACGGCCGCAAGUGUGAAACUCAAAGGAAUUGACGGGGGCCCGCACAAGCGGUGGAGUAUGUGGUUUAAUUUGAAGCAACGCGAAGAACCUUACCAGGCCUUGACAUCCCGGGCAAGGGGGUAGAGAUACGCCGGAGGCUAUCCCGGUGACAGGUGGUGCAUGGUUGUCGUCAGCUCGUGUCGUGAGAUGUUGGGUUAAGUCCCGCAACGAGCGCAACCCUUGUGAUAUGUUACUACCAGUAAGAUGAGGAGUCAUAUCAGACUGCCGGUGACAAACCGGAGGAAGGUGGGGAUGACGUCAAAUCAUCAUGCCCCUUAUGGCCUGGGCUACACACGUACUACAAUGGCGCAUACAAAGAGCAGCGAACCCGUGAGGGCAGGCGAAUCUCGCAAAGUGCGUCUCAGUUCGGAUUGAAGUCUGCAACCCGACUUCAUGAAGUUGGAAUCGCUAGUAAUCGCGAAUCAGCAUGUCGCGGCG
rnacentral:rRNA from 1 species